rnacentral:lncRNA from 1 species
UGAUACAGUACAGCUUCCACGCAUUAUGACAUCACAUCCAACAUGUGGAGAUGACCGGCUCUGGGCAUGCCCUGUGCUCACCUGGCAGGUGAUGGCGUGGGCAGGAAGUGCACAGCCUGCCUUUACCUUACGUGAACACUGUGUCUGGGCAAUGGGCUAAGAACUGAAGAGGACAAGCUAGAAACGGGCUCCUUGCUGCCUCUAUAAACCACGUGUGUGUACAUCUUAGCGAGCCCACAGACAAAAAAGGCACAAGGCACAGGGGAAGGGGCAGGCAGAGGCAAGCACUUCCUGGUGAACUGGGUCCCCUGUGUGAUUGGCUGCUCCUAGAGAACAGUUUCCCUGGCUGCAGUUGCUGUGCAACUGCUUCCUGCAAUUAACUGACUUUAUUGACUUUGUCUGUUUCUCCCCCUCCCUUAACCUCUUGUUUGCCAAGCCAUCUAAGGAGCCACACCUUCGACUGGAAGGGGUAGUUUCAAUUAGCACACUGUACAUCUUGUCAACCCACCUCCACUUGAAGCUGUGAUAAUAGAUGGCAUUGUAUAGGCCUAUGCACACAUACACAAGUAACCAAGACUUGACAUACCCAGCCCGUCUCUGCAAUGAGAAACGAAAAGGGAGAAAAUGCAGGGAAGACACAGCUUUAGGUGUCCACCUUCUUGGGCCAGAGGAGAGACUCAACUUUGCUUUGAGCCAUUGAUGAGCUCAAAUAUGUAAAGUGAGAUACAUAUUUGAGGUGGACUGGAUCGAACCAGCUCACCUGCUCCACGUUGCUCAUUUCUCUCAGCAAAUCCAAGGACUCAGAAGGAACCCUUCACCAACUGCCCAUUCCCGCAUGCCGACCUGCAGAGCUAACUCCAAGCUUGCUCCACCCACCUUCUGUCACCACCGUCCCUUUUCUUGUCUCAAAAGUCAUCAUGAAAAUGCAAAUGUUGCCACAAUUUGUUGAAAAAAUAACAAAAUUAUAGUAUGUGAAAGAGUAUCUUGAAAAUUGAAUUGGAAAUUUCUCUGAUUUUUGCCUUAACACUGUAGAAUUUUAUUUCUAGAAUUUUACCUUAUUUUCU